AAAUUGAAGAGUUUGAUCAUGGCUCAGAUUGAACGCUGGCGGCAGGCCUAACACAUGCAAGUCGAGCGGUAGCACAGAGAGCUUGCUCUCGGGUGACGAGCGGCGGACGGGUGAGUAAUGUCUGGGAAACUGCCUGAUGGAGGGGGAUAACUACUGGAAACGGUAGCUAAUACCGCAUAACGUCGCAAGACCAAAGUGGGGGACCUUCGGGCCUCAUGCCAUCAGAUGUGCCCAGAUGGGAUUAGCUAGUAGGUGGGGUAACGGCUCACCUAGGCGACGAUCCCUAGCUGGUCUGAGAGGAUGACCAGCCACACUGGAACUGAGACACGGUCCAGACUCCUACGGGAGGCAGCAGUGGGGAAUAUUGCACAAUGGGCGCAAGCCUGAUGCAGCCAUGCCGCGUGUGUGAAGAAGGCCUUCGGGUUGUAAAGCACUUUCAGCGGGGAGGAAGGCGAUAGGUUAAUAACCUCAUCGAUUGACGUUACCCGCAGAAGAAGCACCGGCUAACUCCGUGCCAGCAGCCGCGGUAAUACGGAGGGUGCAAGCGUUAAUCGGAAUUACUGGGCGUAAAGCGCACGCAGGCGGUCUGUCAAGUCGGAUGUGAAAUCCCCGGGCUCAACCUGGGAACUGCAUUCGAAACUGGCAGGCUAGAGUCUUGUAGAGGGGGUAGAAUUCCAGGUGUAGCGGUGAAAUGCGUAGAGAUCUGGAGGAAUACCGGUGGCGAAGGCGGCCCCCUGGACAAAGACUGACGCUCAGGUGCGAAAGCGUGGGGAGCAAACAGGAUUAGAUACCCUGGUAGUCCACGCCGUAAACGAUGUCGAUUUGGAGGUUGUGCCCUUGAGGCGUGGCUUCCGGAGCUAACGCGUUAAAUCGACCGCCUGGGGAGUACGGCCGCAAGGUUAAAACUCAAAUGAAUUGACGGGGGCCCGCACAAGCGGUGGAGCAUGUGGUUUAAUUCGAUGCAACGCGAAGAACCUUACCUGGUCUUGACAUCCACAGAACUUUCCAGAGAUGGAUUGGUGCCUUCGGGAACUGUGAGACAGGUGCUGCAUGGCUGUCGUCAGCUCGUGUUGUGAAAUGUUGGGUUAAGUCCCGCAACGAGCGCAACCCUUAUCCUUUGUUGCCAGCGGUUCGGCCGGGAACUCAAAGGAGACUGCCAGUGAUAAACUGGAGGAAGGUGGGGAUGACGUCAAGUCAUCAUGGCCCUUACGACCAGGGCUACACACGUGCUACAAUGGCAUAUACAAAGAGAAGCGACCUCGCGAGAGCAAGCGGACCUCAUAAAGUAUGUCGUAGUCCGGAUUGGAGUCUGCAACUCGACUCCAUGAAGUCGGAAUCGCUAGUAAUCGUAGAUCAGAAUGCUACGGUGAAUACGUUCCCGGGCCUUGUACACACCGCCCGUCACACCAUGGGAGUGGGUUGCAAAAGAAGUAGGUAGCUUAACCUUCGGGAGGGCGCUUACCACUUUGUGAUUCAUGACUGGGGUGAAGUCGUAACAAGGUAACCGUAGGGGAACCUGCGGUUGGAUCACCUCCUUACCUUAAAGAA
rnacentral:rRNA from 1 species